rnacentral:miRNA from 1 species
AAACUGAUGCUGUGAUGUG